rnacentral:rRNA from 1 species
UACGGAGGGUGCAAGCGUUAUCCGGAUUUACUGGGUUUAAAGGGUGUGUAGGCGGACUUUUAAGUCCGUGGUGAAAUCUCCGGGCUCAACCCGGAAACUGCCAUGGAUACUAUAGGUCUUGAAUAUUGUUGAGGUGGGCGGAACGGGUCAUGUAGCGGUGAAAUGCAUAGAUAUGACCCGGAACACCGAUUGCGAAGGCAGCCCACUAAGCAAUGAUUGACGCUGAGGCACGGAAAAGCGUGGGGAUCAAACAGGG